CUGUUGUUUGCUCUUCCUUUAUGUUUUUUUGUGUUCCUCCUCCUCCUCCUCCUCCUCCUCCUCCUCCUCCUCCUCCUCCUCCGUCAGCCACAGAACUUUAUGCCCAGGUAGAGGAAAGGAAAGCCCCCAGGAGAUCUUUAGAGGAAAAAAAACUUGUAUCGAAUUUAUGGAUGCAAAGCAGAAGCCGUUUUGAUCUUAUUCUAUAUUGAAAGAGAGAGAGAGAGAGAGAGAGAGAGAGAGAGAGAGAGAGAGAGAGAGAGAGAGAGGUGAUAUAUAAGGAUAAUGUAUGAGAUAGGUAAGAAGAGUGUAUUUAAUUUAUGAUCCACUACCUGUAGGAGUUUCAGGUCGAGGGAGGAAUUGAUGGAUGGAUGAGUGGAUGAAGGAAGGAAGGAAGGAAGGUAGGAAAGAAAGAAAGAAAGCUUGGAAUGAAGGUUAAAUGAAAAAAUGAGUGAUUGAAGGUAGAAAAGAAUGAGAAAAGGAAGAAAGGAAGGAAGGAAGAGAAGAGAAAGAAGGAAGAAAGGUAAGAAGGGAGAGAAGGAAGAAAGAUAAUCGAAUGAAUGUGGAAAAAUGAAGUAAGAACGAAAGAGUGAUAGGAAGUCAGAAAGAAGAAAUAAAAGAAAACGGAGAAAGAUCAUAUAAAGGAAUGGAACAAGGACUCAAGGGAAUAAGGAAGAGAGAAGGAAUUAUAGGACAGCGGAAUGAGAAAGAAAAAGGGAAGGGGAGAAAGAAAACAGAACGAAAGGGAGAAGCGAACGAAGGAAACAAGGAAGGAAGAAAGAAGGCAGGAGGGAAUUAGAGAAGUAAAGACAUAAGGAAAACAGUGUGAGAAAGAAAAAGGGAAGGAAAGAAAGAAAACAGGACGAAAGAGAGAAGCGAACGAAGGAAACAAGGAAGGAAGAAAGAAAGCAGGAGGGAAUUAGAGAAGGAAAGACAUAAGGAAAACAGUAUGAGAAAAAAAAAGGGAAGGGGAGAAAGAAAACAGAACGAAAGGGAGAAGCGAACGAAGGAAACAAGGAAGGAAGAAAGAAGGCAGAAGGGAAUUAGAGAAGUAAAGACAUAAGAAAAACAGUAUGAGAAAGAAAAAGGGAAGGAAAGAAAGAAAACAGGACGAAAGGGAGAAGCGAACGAAGGAAACAAGGAAGGAAGAAAGAAGGCAGGAGGGAAUUAGAGAAGUAAAGACAUAAGGAAAACAGUAUGAGAAAGAAAAAGGGAAGGAAAGAAAGAAAACAGAACGAAAGGGAGAAGCGAACGAAGGAAACAAGGAAGGAAGAAAGAAAGCAGGAGGGAAUUAGAGAAGGAAAGACAUAAGAAAAACAGCAUGAGAAAGAAAAAGGGAAGGAAAGAAAGAAAACAGGACGAAAGAGAGAAGCGAACGAAGGAAACAAAGAAGGAAGAAAGAAAGCAGAAGGGAAUUAGAGAAGGAAAGACAUAAGAAAAACAGUAUGAGAAAGAAAAAGGGAAGGAAAGAAAGAAAACAGGACGAAAAAGAGAAGCGAACGAAGCAAACAAGGAAGGAAGAAAGAAGGCAGGAGGGAAUAAAAGAAGGCAGGGGGGAAUUAGGGAAGUAAAGACAUAAGGAAAACAGUAAAGGGAGUUCAAGGGCCAAUUCUGUCCACGUUAUUUUCUUACUGACGAAAUGCGGACUCCAUCAUGGGGCAGUAAAAUGAACGGUUAUGCAGGAGGAGGAGGAGGAGGAGGAGGAGGAGGAGGAGGAGGAGGGAACAAAAAAGGGAAUGUUAAGGAAAACUAAGAAGCGAUGAGACGAAAAAGAGGGAAAGAAUGGAAGAUAUUGAAGGUAAGAUGAGGAUGACUGAUGGAAGACAAGGGGGAGGAGGAGGAGGAGGAGGAGGAGGUGUUUGUAAUGUUUAAAGAAGCAAGCGUAGAAGAAUAUAGGAAUAGCGGAGUGUAGAAAAGAAAGAGGAAAGAAGAAAAAAUAGAAGAGGAGGAGGAGGAGGAGGAGGAGGAAGUAACCGUGGUGAUGAUUUUUUAAGAGGACAGCAGGAGGAAAAGGAGAAGGAGGAGGGAGGGAGGGGAGGAGGAGGCCGGAAAGAAGUUAGUAAGUUGGAAGUAGAGGAGGAGGAGGAGGAAGAAAGAAAAAAGUUACUAAGGAGGAGGAGGAGGAGGAGGAGGAGGAGGAGGAGGAAGAAAGAAAAAAGUUACUAAGGAGGAGGAGGAGGAGGAGGAGGAGGCAGUGGUGUUGGGAGGAUAAACGAAUAAAAAUGCCAGGAAGUAGAGUAAGAUCAGGUAAGGAGACGAACAGAGGCAAGACGUCGUUUAGAGCCCCGAAUGUCUUUACACUGCGCGCGGCCGUCCCCAAGAGGGUAAGCGAGGCAUCGGAAAGCGAGAAGCGGAGAAACUGAGGUCGGUGUUGUCAGCCGCUUCCAACACUCACAUCAUCUAUUUCCAAAGGUCGGAGAGGAGAUCACUCGAGUUCUAUUGAGUGUUUUUUGGUUCGUGGUACAGGAGAUGGGUCAUACUCCUAGAAGGGUCAUGAAGCUACCCCUGGAAAUGCCAAAGAAAUCCUACGAAAGCCUUGUCAAAUAUGUGUGUUUUAGGUUCGUGGUACAGGAGAAGGGUCAUACUCCUAGAAGGGUCAUGAAGCUACCCCUGGAAAUGCCCCAAACUCCUGCGAAAGCCUUGUCAAAUAUGUGUGCUUUAGGUUCGUGGUACAGGAGAAGAGAAGGGUCAUACUCCUAGAAGGGUCAUGAAGCUACCCCUGGAAAUGCCCCAAAACUCCAGCGAAAGCCUUGUCAAACAUGUGUGCUUAAGGUUCGUGCUACAGGAGAAGAGAAGGGUCAGACUAAAAGAAGGGUCAUAAAGUUACCCUGGAAAUGCCCAAAAACUCCUGCGAAACCUUGUCAAAUAUGUGCUUGUGAGCCGAAAUGUUUAAGAAUAUGACCAUUACACCUUUCAAGAGGAGAGUAUCAAGACACCUCUCCUCUGGCCCCUCAUAUUUUUUUUUCUUUUAAUGGAGAGAAAAGGUUAAAUAAUUUCGAAUAGAGAAGAAGCAGGAGAAAAUAGACUCGCAGGAUUAUUAUUUAAAAAAAAAAUCCUUAAAAGAUGUGCUCCCGUGCCGACACCCUGCCUGGACAAACUCUCGUCUCUGCCUGUCAACAUCCACCUUUCCCUCCUGCUGGACAAACUCUCGUCUCUGCCUGUCAACAUCCACCUUUCCCUCCUGCUGGACAAAUUCUCGUCUCUGCCUUUCAACAUCCACCUUUCCCUCCUGCUGUAAGUACGGCUAUAUACGUGUACAGCCUGUGCCUAAGAAGGGUGACCGCUCUAAUCCCACAAACUACCGCCCUAUAGCUUUACUUUCUUCUCCUUCUAAAGCUCUGAAACUCUCCUUAACAGGGAAGUUCUUAAGCAUUAUCGCCUUCUGCUCUCCUUCUACUUCUUCUACUUCUCCUUCUUCGACUACUUCUUCUUCUUCUUCUUCUUCUUCUUCUUCUUCUUCUUCUUCGUCUUCUUUGUCUUCUUCCUCCUCCUCCUCCUCCUCCUCCUCUGAUCUCCAGCAUGGAAUCCGCAAGGGGCGUUCUACUGGUGAUCUCGCCCACCUAACUCACUCCUGGCCCUCCUUCCGUAACCAUUUCGGUAAAACUUUUGCUGUUCAUUAGACAUUCAGGAGAAGGGAAACGACCUCAUCAAAAGUAACAUCAACAGGAUUUCGUUACCAAAAUAUAUGAAAAAAACAGAGAUAUAGAGAAAGGCGAAUCGAUAUUAAAGGAGAAAAGAAGUAAGAAAAAUGAGAAAGAGGAAAGUAAAGAUGUAAUGAAGCAGAGAAGCAACAAUGUCAUCAAAAGUAACAUCAACAGGACUUCGUUAUCAAAAGAUGUGAACGAAAGUGAUAGAGAAAGUCGAAUUGAUAUUAAAGGAGAGAAGAAGUAAGUAAAUUGAGAGACAGGAAAAGGAGAUUCUGACAUACAGCGAAAAGGUAAACAACGCCAUCAAAAGUAACAUCAACAAUACUCCAUUACCAAAAGAUGUGAACGAAAGUGAUGGAGAAAGGCGAAAAGAUGUUGAAGGAGAAAAGAAGUAAAAUGAGAAGGAGGAAGAGGAGGAAAUGCCACGAAGGAAAAAGGAAAAAAAAAAAAAAAAGUAACCCCCCCCAAAAUAUUAACGAAAGGGAUAAAAAAGAAAAGCGAAUUAGUUUUUUGAAGAGAAGUGAGUAAAAUGAGAGACAUGGAAAAGCAAAAGCAAAAUAAGGAAAACUACGAAAGAAGAGGAAGAGGAAAAGACAAAGGCAUACAACAAAGAGGAAACACAACGAAGCAAGAUGAAUAUUAGGAAAUGGAAGAAGGAAAAUAAUAGAAAGAGGAGGAAAUGGAGGAGAUGACAUAUGACAAAAAAUAGAUGAAAAAUAAUCAUGAAGAGAAAAAAGGAGGAGAAAGAAAAGGACAAGGAAGAGGGGAAAGAGAUGAUAUUAUGCAGCAAAAAUAAAGAGACGGGAAAAAGAUGAAAAAUUAGGAGGCAACAUUCGAUAAAAAGAACCCGAAAGAAGAUUGAGAAGAUAAAUAUGAAGGGGAGGAGGAGGAGGAGAAAAAGGAGACGUCAAACAACUAAAGGAGAAACGAAAGGAAGACUGCGAAGAAAAGAAGGAAGCAAAGAGAAAGAAGAGGAGAUAACAUUAAUAAGGAGAAAGAUGUGAAGGAACAGAUGGGAGACACAACCAAGGAAGAUCAUGAUAAGCAAAAAGAAAUAAGGAAAAGAAAGAGAAAGAGGAAAAGAUGACAUA